CCUGCCCCAGCUCGUGUUGCAGAUGUGGCUGCUGUGCCAUGUUUGUGUCAUUAGGUGGCAGAGAGGAAAAGGCAACGUCUUUGCUAGUGCUCUGGAACCUGUGGGCACUCAGGAAUGAUGAGCAACCUGACAAUU
ensembl:snoRNA